GCCAAUGUAAGACGUGCCUUUCACCUUCUUCCACGAUUAUGAGGACUGCCAGCCACUUGGAACUACUCUCAAAAAGUACCAGAAGUAACUCAUGAGUAAGUUACUCAACCAGGAAAAGCACAUAGAACAGCAUAGAGAUUGCCUUAAGGAAGAAGCUACUGCUGCUGCCAUUCUGCAUUGGGAAGCUCAUCAAACACAUCAUGGGUAUUAUAGCGCAGGAAAACAGCCUGCCUGCUGCAUGGCACGAGUGACUACGCCACCAUCUUGAGGAAAACCAUCACAAUGCCCAAUGUUUGACUCCUGCGUAUCACGGUGUUCUGAAGCAAGGUCUUUUUCCCCGGAAGUAACAAGUCACAGCAUGGAAGUCUGAGAUGUAACUAGCUGCACUUGUCUUUACCCUAAAUGCUUGCUAUCUAAAGGACAUUCUCUAGAGGAGAUUGCGAAAUCCACCGUAUCACAACCACCCAAGAUAUCAUUUCUGUUCAUAAGUCCCUAUUAAAUAUGUAUUUCUGAGAAA